UAAUUGGAGUAGGGUGGAAAGAAUAUGUAUGAUUUUUUUCAAAAAUUUUCGCAAACUUUGUUAGUUCACAUGCACCACAUGUGCACACAUGUUCAUGAGCACAAUAUAUGUUCUCGAUCGUCUCCAACAAUACCCUGUAAAGGGUUCUGUCCGCUAAAUUUAUCGGAUGCUCAUCCCCUAUACGCAUCCAGCAAUGGAUGCUAAAAGGUCUACUAAGUUACAACGUAUCGUCGCCAUCCGCCAAAUCUGGCGGAGGAGCAUCCGCUCGCUAUCCGCCCCUCGCUCCCGCGCCCGCUCAGAGAGUUCCGCCUCACGGUAGUUUCCUCCUAGUCGCCACCGCGCCAGUCGCCGUCCUAGCAGGAUGGCAGUGGCGUUGCUCCGACGGGGAAAGCUGUGUCCUCUCGCCGUGGCCCUGGCAAGAAGAAGGGGAAAGGAGCCUCCUUUCGAUCCGUCACUCCCAAGGAUGUCUAAAAAGGUCAAGCAGCUCGCUAAGGGACUAGCGAGGAGAGCCUCCAUUUUUGGGAGAAAGGAGGACUUAGUGUUCCAGGGCACUAGUUCAAGCUCGAGCAGGCGUAGAGCUUUGUUGGAGCAUGUUCCAGAGUUGCAGGGCCAGGCAGUCGGCGUACUAAGGAAUGAGGAUGAGUCUGAAGAUGAGGUAGAGACAGAGGAGGGGAUACAAGUGGAAGAUGUUGAGGAUGUCCAGGGUAGGGAGGCGGAGAGAGAGUGGGAUGAAUGGCCCAAGGAUGCAAGUGGGUGGCCAGGAGAUGGAGGGUCGGGAGUUGGGGGAGCUAGUGGAGGAGGUUCUGGAAGCGGGGGAGUUGGAGUGUCUUCACGGGUCCGGAAGCCACGAAAGACUAGUUGGGUCCCCCCUCCUAAAGAACCAGUUAACAAGGUUGAGAUAAUACCGUCUGGAGAUGGGGCUUGGGUGGAUAGUAGUUUCACCGGCAAAGAUCGUGUAAGGCAAGUAAAUAAAGUGUUGGGCAAUAUCUGUCGUAUGAGAUGGCCUGGAUUGGUGAUUGAGAAUGGUAUUGAGGUCCCUGUCACAAGAUGGGAUCAAUACGGCCUUACUGUUAACGCGUAAUAUGGGAAUGCGCAAGGUGCAGUUUGGCACGACUUCUGGAAACAUUAUAAGUUGCCUGACGGAGAUACUCAUACCGAGCAUGCACAGUCCGUGUUCCAUAGGAACGCGGCAGAUGUUGUUGCGGAUAUGAUGUACUAUGUUCGAAUCCAGGUGAUUAAUCAAGCUAUGUUGAGUAGUGAAGGACGACGUGCAACCACUAAGAGCGAGGCGUCACAGUAUGGACUUUCUAUGACUGAGCAAGAUUUUCUUCAGCAUUCGAUUUCAUGGAUAGCCGCCAAUGAUGCUGCUUGGCGUGCCUUAUGCCGUUAUUGGGCUUCGGAUGAUUUCAAGGCAAAGUCUAUGCGACAAAGUUCCAAUCGUGGAACCGAGUCGUAUCACAAGUAUGGAGGUGAUGAUCACUUUCGUUUGCCAAAACAAAUGAAGCUAGCAGUGGUGUAGUGCCCAGUGAUGUUCAAGUAUACCUGAGGGGGCACAGAGGACCAGAUCCUGUAAACCCAGAUGUGUUGUGUAGCCAAAAGGCAACAGAUCGUCUGGCUGCAUAUGGUGAGGCGAUGUCUAGUCAGCAUGGAUCGGACUAUGACUGGAGGACUGCAUCUAUUGAUCCUUAGGCUGUGUAUGCAAGUAGUGGAAAACCCCAUGGAAGGUACUCGAUGUUCGAUAACGUCAUCGACUCGAGCCAGGUGACGGUUCAGAGGGGAGGUUUGUCGAGGUCUGCUGCUCGUAGCUCCCGUCGCUCUACUCAGGAUACUACAGAAGUUGAGCAACUACGAGAAGAGCUUAGGCAACAUCAGGAGCGGCAAAGGGUUCAGGAGGAAUACUUGAGGCAACAUGCUGCGCAACAAGAAUACUAUGCUACUCAGUUUCAACAACAGCAAGCACUGAUACAACAACUAGCACAAGCCCAAGGGAUACAGGUUCCGAUGCCCCCCACCUCCACCUCCCAUACAUUUUCCUUGGCCUUCACCUCCACCUCCACCUACCGAACAUUGGGUAUAUGAGACCCCUCUAGCUACCUUGCUGGUGCAGCAACAAGAUGAUGGCUUAGACUUUGUCAAUGCGUUGUUCGCCAGUGGAGGUAGCGAGCAUCACUCUUCGCUGAUUCCUGAUGUUGAUCGACAGUAGUGGACUUCCAUUCUAUGUGUUUUGUGAGACUUGAAACUUGUGUCUUGUGAGACUAUUAUGAAUUGUUAUAUCGAGGCAGAUGUAACUUGUGAGACUUUUUUGUGGAUUGUUCUGGCCAGACUUUUGUGACUUUAUAUGUGACAUGUGAUAUAUUGUGGUUGUUAAAUA